CACGUAGGGGGCGAGCGUUGUCCGGAUUUAUUGGGCGUAAAGAGCUCGUAGGCGGCUCGGUAAGUCAGGUGUGAAAACUCUAGGCUCAACCUAGAGACGCCACCUGAUACUGCUGUGGCUAGAGUCCGGUAGGGGAGCAUGGAAUUCCUGGUGUAGCGGUGAAGUGCGCAGAUAUCAGGAGGAACACCAGUGGCGAAGGCGGUGCUCUGGGGCCGGAACUGACGCUGAGGAGCGAAAGCGUGGGGAGCAAACAGG
rnacentral:rRNA from 1 species